CUGAAGCAGAGGCAAAGCGCCGUUCAAAAGCACUACGAUUCGUCGGUGAAAAUUUCGCCAUCACGCUUCAUACUGUACUUUAUACUCUUAAAACAUUUCGACAAAGAAAAAGCAAGCAAGAAGUAAGGAAUAGGAAAAAGCUGAAUUGAUUUUGUUCUGUGCCUUUUGAUGCGGUUUGACGCUCUGCGAAAGAUGACAGCUCGUACACUAGUUUGCCUUUUGCCGUUGCUUCACACAAUUCUCUCUGUGAAAGGUUGUGACCACUGCGAGUGCGACCAUAGAGGGGCUCUGUCGUCUUGCCAACUGGUUUCCCCUCAGUGUAAGCCCCAUCAUGAUCUUGUCCCUGAAGCAACAAUGUGUGAUGCAAGGGGGCUGAAAUGCUGCCGAAUGACUUGCGAUGGACCUGGAACGAUGUGUUUACCUGAAGAGGGUCGUUCGAGUUCAACAUAUGCUGAUUUAGGAACCAAGACUUGUAAGGAAGGAUUUAUAUGCGUAAAGGCUGCGUCUCGUCUUAGGAAAAAGUUACGGAUUCCAUGAUGUCAUUGCUCAUGGUUAGGAUAAUUGAGGUCAGAUAUAUAAUUUUUUAAAAUUUCUUUUGGACGCCUAUGAGAUGUGAAUUAUACU